rnacentral:rRNA from 1 species
UACGGAGGAUGCAAGCGUUAUCCGGAAUUAUUGGGCGUAAAGCGUCCGCAGGUGGCUGUGUAAGUCUGCUGUCAAAGAGCAAAGCUCAACUUUGUAAAGGCAGUGGAAACUACACGGCUAGAGUGCGUUCGGGGCAGAGGGAAUUCCUGGUGUAGCGGUGAAAUGCGUAGAGGUCAGGAAGAACACCGGUGGCGAAGGCGCUCUGCUAGGCCGCAACUGACACUGAGGGACGAAAGCUAGGGGAGCGAAUGGG